AGGGAUGUAAUUCAGAGGUAGAAUGUUUGCCUAACAUGCAUGAAACUGUGGGUUCAAAUCUCAUUGCCUA
rnacentral:tRNA from 1 species